UGACGGUACCUUAUUAGAAAGCCACGGCUAACUACGUGCCAGCAGCCGCGGUAAUACGUAGGUGGCAAGCGUUGUCCGGAAUUAUUGGGCGUAAAGCGCGCGCAGGCGGUUCUUUAAGUCUGAUGUGAAAGCCCACGGCUCAACCGUGGAGGGUCAUUGGAAACUGGAGAACUUGAGUACAGAAGAGGAAAGCGGAAUUCCACGUGUAGCGGUGAAAUGCGUAGAGAUGUGGAGGAACACCAGUGGCGAAGGCGGCUUUCUGGUCUGUAACUGACGCUGAGGCGCGAAAGCGUGGGGAGCAAACAGGAUUAGAUACCCUGGUAGUCCACGCCGUAAACGAUGAGUGCUAAGUGUUAGGGGGUUUCCGCCCCUUAGUGCUGCAGCUAACGCAU
rnacentral:rRNA from 2 species